CUCCGCGCACGUGACGACCACUCUGUGGUCCCACAUGAGGCGCGUACGACCAAUCGGGUUGCGUUCAGUCCAGACUGUCAUCAGUGACGCAGCCUUUAAAACUUUCCUCGUGAAUAUUUAUGAACCUAAAUGCAAUCGAAAUCUUCAAAUCUUCAAAUUUAUUUGUAA